rnacentral:rRNA from 1 species
AGGUGCGAUCAUACCAGCACUAAUGCACCGGAUCCCAUCAGAACUCCGCAGUUAAGCGUGCAAAAUCCGAAAAUUUCUCCAG